ACAACUUCAAUUCACAUAGAAAUAAUAGUGGUGGAUACUUACUGCAUAUAUUGUCGGUAAAUACCAGUUUAUUGGUGCAUCAUUGCGUUUAGCCCGUUCAUAUAGUGUGAGGUGAUAUGCUAUCAUGGUGAGAAUCUAAAACAGUGGUCAAUAAGUGAGAACUUAGUAUUCAAUUUUGCAAUAAGGCAUCCAAACAUAUAGUACGAUGAUGUGAGUGCCAAUGCACCACAAACCUCUCCACUCAGAGCCGUGUUAGGCAAAAGGCUCAUGAAAUUAUGCCUGGAGAUAAAUUGAUCAUCAGUAGAGACAACGAUUUCGCUGAAAACACAAACAAGUAAUAAAGUGUUAGCUAAUCAAUAUAUAUGUAUAGGGGAAUAAAAAAUACAAAGCCCUAUAAACCACAAGUACCUUCCGUUACCACCUUUAUCAAAUGCAUAUUGAAUGAGCUUCAAUUGGUCAAGAGAAAGGGGGUUAUUUACAUAGAAAUGACCAGCUUUAAACUUAGCCUUCGCUCCCCGAGACACUUUAUCAUAAGGAGAGAGUUGGUAUCGUCCUGGCCUUCUGUUCCGUGCUGGUCAUGUUGCUGGUAUGCUCAUGCUAGUGGAGGUCUGGAACUCUUGCUUAGUGUCAAGUGGUUCAGCUAAAUUCUAUAUAUGUCCAGGGUCAAAAUUAAUUCAUUAUCAUUAAAACUAAAUUACAACUAAAGAUCGCUUAGACAAACCUCUCCCUCCUCUCGAGGUAUUGGCGUUAAAUGGAGAUCCUGUCCUCUAUUAAAUUGAAAUGAAUCGAGCGGAGUUUCACUAGUAUAUGCAGUAGUCCCAAUACAGCCCAACAUAACAUCAAAGGCUCGUAAACUUGCUUUCACUCUACGAUCCACGGUGUCGUCAUCACUGACCAAAAUCAUUUUCCCUUCAGUUUUUGACAUUGUUUUUCCAUCCGGAGAUGUAUGAUUUUGACUUUUCAAAUUUGAAGGUGGAUCGGGAGCAACUAGUUGUUUGCUUGAUCCUCCGUGAUACUUUGAUGUCAACUCUCCCAAUAUUUUCUCUAUGUUUUCCAAUCUGUGUUCAAUGGUUUGGAAUGACUCUUUGUUUUGUGCGACGAAUGACCCAAACCUUUCCAUUAGUAACUAAAAAGCAUCAUUAUUCGCAUUGUUCCACCCAGGAGGUUCUGCUUGUUCAGGCUUAUGAAGCCGAUCAGGGUCACGCAUCGAAACCUAAAAUAAUUCAUAAAAUAAUAACAAUUUAGUCCAAAAAUAUGGUAAUUGAUUUCAUUAAAAUAGUAUGCAUGUAUUCUAUACCUUAUUGCUUUUGAUGCUGAUAAAUGCAUAUUUUUCAUAUAUUUUGUUAUUAAUUUCUCCAUCUUUUUCUUGUUUUGAUAUGAAACAUUCUAGUUAUUUUAGUUAAUUUUUAAUUGAAUAUGGAAUUAAUUAAUAUACAUAUUUUACCCUUUAUUAUAUAUUUGCUAGUUAUUUUUAUUUAUUAUUUUUAAUUAAUUGUAUUAUUUUAUUGAAUAGGGAAUUAAUUGGAGAUUGUGGAUAAAAAGGACAUGAAGAAGUUCAAACAAAAAAAUCUUAUUGUACAGAGCAAUGUUUGAAAAUUAUCAUAGAUAAACAACUUCAAUUCACAUAGAAAUAAUAGUGGUGGAUACUUACUGCAUAUAUUGUCGGUAAAUACCAGUUUAUUGGUGCAUCACUGCGUUUAGCCCGUUCAUAUAGUGUGAGGUGAUAUGCUAUCAUGGUGAGAAUCUAAAACAGUGGUCAAUAAGUGAGAACUUAGUAUUCAAUUUUGCAAUAAGGCAUCCAAACAUAUAGUACGAUGAUGUGAGUGCCAAUGCACCACAAACCUCUCCACUCAGAGCCGUGUUAGGCAAAAGGCUCAUGAAAUUAUGCCUGGAGAUAAAUUGAUCAUCAGUAGAGACAACGAUUUCGCUGAAAACACAAACAAGUAAUAAAGUGUUAGCUAAUCAAUAUAUAUGUAUAGGGGAAUAAAAAAUACAAAGCCCUAUAAACCACAAGUACCUUCCGUUACCACCUUUAUCAAAUGCAUAUUGAAUGAGCUUCAAUUGGUCAAGAGAAAGGGGGUUAUUUACAUAGAAAUGACCAGCUUUAAACUUAGCCUUCGCUCCCCGAGACACUUUAUCAUAAGGAGAGAGUUGGUAUCGUCCUGGCCUUCUGUUCCGUGCUGGUCAUGUUGCUGGUAUGCUCAUGCUAGUGGAGGUCUGGAACUCUUGCUUAGUGUCAAGUGGUUCAGCUAAAUUCUAUAUAUGUCCAGGGUCAAAAUUAAUUCAUUAUCAUUAAAACUAAAUUACAACUAAAGAUCGCUUAGACAAACCUCUCCCUCCUCUCGAGGUAUUGGCGUUAAAUGGAGAUCAUGUU
rnacentral:lncRNA from 1 species